rnacentral:lncRNA from 1 species
AAAAAUAACCUAUAAAGACAAUAAAAUAGCACUUAUCAUGAUUCCAUAUGCAAUUGGUAAUAGGCAUACAUUAUAAAUCCAUAUUCAAUAAAUCAAACAACGACCUUCCCUUUCAUCGACUUGCUGGUAUCCAUGGGGGUUCAUAGGGAUGUCGCCGCUAUGCGUGAACCUUUUUCUUUAACAUUCUCAAUUAAAGGGUCGUCCCAUUCUCCAUCUGGUAUGAGCGCCAAAUCACUAAACCUCAAUAGCUCCGUCUGGUAUGAGGGUGAAACGGGCCAUCUUCAUACCCCGUCUCGUAUGAGCGCCAGAUUAC